GUAGAUGUGGCAGAGGGUAUAUAUGUGUUAAAUUGUAAAUUUAAUUAAAUCAUUAGGAAUGGUCGUUUACA
rnacentral:tRNA from 1 species